rnacentral:rRNA from 1 species
AGGAAGACUACCUGUUUGAUAGGACGGAUGUGUAAGUUGGGUAACCAAUUCAGCUAACCGUUACUAAUUGCCCGUUCGGCUUGACCAUAAAA